rnacentral:rRNA from 1 species
CACCAGACUCCUACGGGAGGCAGCAGUGGGGAAUAUUGGGCAAUGGGGGAAACCCUGACCCAGCGACGCCGCGUGAGGGAAGAAGGUUUUCGGAUUGUAAACCUCUGUCCUUGGUGACGAUAAUGACGGUAGCCAAGGAGGAAGCCACGGCUAACUACGUGCCAGCAGCCGCGGUAAUACGUAGGUGGCGAGCGUUGUCCGGAAUUACUGGGUGUAAAGGGAGCGUAGGCGGGAGUGCAAGUUGAAUGUAUAAUCUAGCGGCUCAACUGAUAGAAGCGUGCAAAACUGCGCUUCUUGAGUGAAGUAGAGGCAGGCGGAAUUCCUAGGGUAGCGGUGAAAUGCGUAGAUAUUAGGAGGAACACCAGUGGCGAAGGCGGCCUGCUGGGCUUUAACUGACGCUGAGGCUCGAAAGCGUGGGUAGCAAACAGGAUUAGAUCCCCUAGUA